rnacentral:lncRNA from 1 species
AGAAACUGCAGAGAGUGGGUCGAGAAGAGGAGAAACAGCGGUGGAUGGGUGGCUGAUGAUGGCGGUGCCAAGGGUUUGACGGCGGCGGCGCGGUGGCGCGGUGUUCAGGAUGAGGGAGGAGAUUGUGAAACAGGGGUUUGAAGGGUUGGGACAAGGGAGAGUUGCAGAAGAAGGAUAGAGAGAGAAAGAAAGGCUGAGAGAGAGAGAAAAGGAGGGGGAAAGGAGAGGUUGGCAGUGGUGGUGUCCUGACGGAGGUCUGGCCAGUGUGGUUGUUUGUGCAGCUGACUAUUAAACGGCGGUGCUAGCAGCUCAGCCGCAGUUGUGGUGGCGAGAUCACCGGAGAGGAUGAAGAUCAGAGGUGGCUUUGCUAAGAGGUGUAUGUAUUUGUAUAUGUUGUUGGGGUGUUUAACUCGGCAGAGAUUGAGGCUGUGAGUUUUGAAAUGUGUAGGAAUAACUUGUGAAUCAGCGUUGAGUCUGGUGAAUGUUGUGAGCCUAUGAUCAAUCGAAGGGGAAAUUUUCAGGACCGGCCAGUGAGGGGUCAGGGUGCUGCUGUGCCGGGUGACAACAAGUUGGGUUGAAAUUUGAGUAAAGGAAGUUGUUGCAGGUAAGAUGGUGGGCUGAGAUUGAUGAGCAGGGGGGGUAUUCCUAUAAAGGAAAAAGAUAAGUGAGUAAUGGAAUGCAGGGGAGAGUAUAAUGGAUGCCCCUGGUGCUGGUUUUUGGGCUGCUGGCUGAGUGAUAACUAUAGUCCGAUGGUUGUGGGGAUUUGUGGGAAAAUAUAGACAUCUUAANNNNNNNNNNNNNNNNNNNNNNNNNNNNNNNNNNNNNNNNNNNNNNNNNNNNNNNNNNNNNNNNNNNNNNNNNNNNNNNNNNNNNNNNNNNNNNNNNNNNNNNNNNNNNNNNNNNNNNNNNNNNNNNNNNNNNNNNNNNNNNNNNNNNNNNNNNNNNNNNNNNNNNNNNNNNNNNNNNNNNNNNNNNNNNNNNNNNNNNNNNNNNNNNNNNNNNNNNNNNNNNNNNNNNNNNNNNNNNNNNNNNNNNNNNNNNNNNNNNNNNNNNNNNNNNNNNNNNNNNNNNNNNNNNNNNNNNNNNNNNNNNNNNNNNNNNNNNNNNNNNNNNNNNNNNNNNNNNNNNNNNNNNNNNNNNNNNNNNNNNNNNNNNNNNNNNNNNNNNNNNNNNNNNNGGCCGUGACGGCGGUCCAGUGAGGGCUAUAUACGUAUUAUUCGGGCGGCGGUUUGACGUCGCUGGCUGACGAAGAAGGGUAGGAGAGAGACCGAGUUGAAGGCGGCUCUGCCGCGAAAAAGAUAUAGCAGGUGAGUGGAGAAACUGCAGAGAGUGGGUCGAGAAGAGGAGAAACAGCGGUGGAUGGGUGGCUGAUGAUGGCGGUGCCAAGGGUUUGACGGCGGCGGCGCGGUGGCGCGGUGUUCAGGAUGAGGGAGGAGAUUGUGAAACAGGGGUUUGAAGGGUUGGGACAAGGGAGAGUUGCAGAAGAAGGAUAGAGAGAGAAAGAAAGGCUGAGAGAGAGAGAAAAGGAGGGGGAAAGGAGAGGUUGGCAGUGGUGGUGUCCUGACGGAGGUCUGGCCAGUGUGGUUGUUUGUGCAGCUGACUAUUAAACGGCGGUGCUAGCAGCUCAGCCGCAGUUGUGGUGGCGAGAUCACCGGAGAGGAUGAAGAUCAGAGGUGGCUUUGCUAAGAGGUGUAUGUAUUUGUAUAUGUUGUUGGGGUGUUUAACUCGGCAGAGAUUGAGGCUGUGAGUUUUGAAAUGUGUAGGAAUAACUUGUGAAUCAGCGUUGAGUCUGGUGAAUGUUGUGAGCUUAUGAUCAAUCGAAGGGGAAAUUUUCAGGACCGGCCAGUGAGGGGUCAGGGUGCUGCUGUGCCGGGUGACAACAAGUUGGGUUGAAAUUUGAGUAAAGGAAGUUGUUGCAGGUAAGAUGGUGGGCUGAGAUUGAUGAGCAGGGGGGAUAUUCCUAUAAAGGAAAAAGAUAAGUGAGUAAUGGAAUGCAGGGGAGAGUAUAAUGGAUGCCCCUGGUGCUGGUUUUUGGGCUGCUGGCUGAGUGAUAACUAUAGUCCGAUGGUUGUGGGGAUUUGUGGUUGAGGGCAAUAAGAGGGUGCUGAUUGAGGGAUGAGGCAGGAGAAUUGGUGUGGUUGAUAGACAUGUAUUCUGGUAGGGGUGGAGAAUGGUUGCAGAGCAAUUUCAGAAGAUAAAAAUGGAAUGAAUACUAGUUAAUUAUGGAUUAAGUAAUUGUUAUUAUUGAUAUUGUUAUUAUUAUUAUUAUCAAUUCUUUGAUAAUAAUAAUGAUAAUUAAUAAUUCUAAUAACGUUAAUAAUCAAUAAUUGAUUAUCUUGAAUUCUAUUUUUAUUCCGAUUAUUUGUGAAUAAAGGUAGCUGGUUGAGUUUGAAUUGUCUGGAGUAUAAUUUUAUCUAAAUUUGGGAUUGUGUUGGAUAAAUGCUUCGUGCUUUAUAAUAAGUUGAAUUCGAGUAUAUGCAAUGUUCAAGGACCUUAUAUCUACAAUAUAGAUUCAAAUAUUCGAACAGUGGAAUGUGAUUGGAAUUACAAAUUGUAUUAUUAUUAUUAAAAUAAUACGUGUUUCGAUAUUGUGAUGAAUAUUUAUAUUACUUGGACAGAGAUUAUUGUGUUGUUGAUUUGGGGUUUGCUCGAUUUUAAAAGGAUGUGCUGUCCAAAAUUUAUUAUUUUAUUCUGAUUAUAUUUCGAGUGGAAUUGAGAUAUGAUUGAAUUACAAUUGGACUUGUAAAUUAGACUGGCUUGGAUUAUAUUUCUGAAAUAGAUAGUAGUCAGGGAUGUAUUGUCGUUGUGUUGAUUGUUUGUAUAUAAUCAUAUAUAAAAUUAUAUACAUGAUUAUUAGAAUAUUUAUAUUUUAUAUAAAUAUUAAAGCAUGUGCUUAUGUGACUACGUGUUUAACUGAUUGAUACUAUGUAUAUAUAGUAAUUGUAUAUAUUAUAUGGCGAAGGGUAGUAAUAUAAUUUCGAUUCAGCGAUUUGACGGCGGUUGGGAUUGUUCUUCAACUGAAGUAUUGUUUGCUGUUAUAUAUAGCCGGCUGAGACGUGGUCAACAAUGACUUUCAGAAGCCAGCGAAUAGUGUUGCAAGCCAAGUCUGAAAUAAUUCAAUAAGGCCAGAUUGUGCCGCAAGACAGUCCAUUUAGAAUGUAGUGACUGUAGAGUUAGCAGUUGAGGCAAGUCUAGAAACCUCGAGUAGUGUGACCGAGUUGCAUUGUCACAUGUUUUCAGUCAGAGGCAAGUAUUCUUACUCUUCUCUUUUAUUUAAAGAGCAAGAAUUUUAAAUCUCUUUUAAUAAUGCAGUUUUCUAUUUAUGCAUGACUUGUAUUUCCCGCAAGCAUUCGUACUUUUAUACUGUGAUAUAAAUUAUCGAAUAUUUUUUUAGUUCGAUCCUUUUCUAGCGUGAUAUGCACAAUGACAACAUUGUUAGAAAAUUAUUCUGAUUUUGAUUUAAUCAGUUUUCUGAAAGAUUAUUGUCUGAGUUUCUUUACAGUUUGGAACUAUUGAUGACUGUAUAGCAGUCAUAUUUCGAUUCUACAAUAUAUGCCUGGUCUUCUGUCCCAGACAUAAACACUGGAUUUUUAAAUGGCGAAAAUAGUUGUUUUUAUUCCUUUGAGCCGCAUUGCGGUGGAUUUUAGAAUCGUACUCAGACUUUAAUGAAAUUGAUUUUGACAGUAUUUUGAAAUUGAAAACUAAAGAGUUUUCAGAAAGUUUUGAAAGGAUGAUUGUAUGGCAUAAGAGACUAAUUAAUGGUCCAGCCAGAGAGACCAGCAAAAAUAUUUUGUUUUGAUUGGAUGAAUGCGUAAGAGGCCGUGACGGCGGUCCAGUGAGGGCUAUAUACGUAUUAUUGAAAUAUUAUAAUACCUCUGCCAAAGGCCAAUGUGUUGCCUUGUAUUUGGUACCUAUCGUAACGGAUAUACUUCUACGAAGUAUGAUCCAGUGCUAUCACAUGGUCUGAUCAGUUGUGAUAGUACACCCGUCAGUUGUGGAUUCCGAUCCAAAAACUGGUCAAUUAUUGUUUAAGCUUUUGAGAGCUUAUGUUUAUUGUCAAAUUUAUUCUGUGAAAUUUUCAAGCAUAUUGAUUUAUAUGUUUGAUAAAAUUUUGAGUUACAACUGUUAUGAUUUACUUCAAAAGUUGCUUUAUUUUCAAAUACUCUGAUUUAAUUGAAAAGAAAUUAUAUCUUGUGGCUCUUGCCUUUCAUAUUAUCUUGCUGAGCAUUUUCGCUCACCCUUGCUAUUAUUUCUAACCCUUUCAGCUAGGGAUUGAGAUAGUCACCUGUGUAAGCUGAGCGUAAGAUUGAUGCUAGGCGAGACUACCAAGGAGAUGUCUACAAGAAUAGUUUCAGUUAGAAUUGAUUUAUUUCAGUUCAGUUGUAAAUAGAUUUAUUUAUUUGGUUAUCAGUUAUUCUUCUCAUCGAGGCUUAACUGAUAAUGUAGUUUAAGUUGUAAUAUAUUGUAAGUUUUAGUUUCUGAUUUCAGUACUGUAACCUAUUAGCGAUCCUGUUUUUAGGGGGUCAAAGUGAUUUUGAUUUAAAUCUCUUUUAAAAAUUUCAGAUUUUCAAAUAUCUGUUUUACCUUCUUCCGCAAAUACAGGUUUUUUUAUGAUUUUUGAUUUAGUGGCACCAAAUCCCGACCCCCGGAUUUGAGGGCUGUCACAGUUGGUAUCAGAGCUGUAGGUUAUAAGUUAUUGAAAUCAGAAUGUAGAUGGUGAUAAGAUUGUGUUUAGUGGAACCUCAUAUAGAGGUAAGUCAAGACUAUUAGGUAUAGUCUUUGUCAAGAGAACUGAGAUUGAUUUUGGAGUAUUGAUUCUGAGUAAUCAUUUGGGAUAUCCUAGUUUCCAGUUUUAGAACUAGUGAGUUUGGAUUUUAUGAGAAACAUGAUGGAACACCUUUAGUUUCCAAUCUUUUAGAUCUUGAGGUCGACUUUCUGAGUAACUAGUGCCAGCCAGACUUGUGGAGAAACCUGUCAAGUCUAGAAUGUUCCUUACUAUCUUUACCACUUCUAGAGUAUUGGUUAGAAGGUGAUUCAUUGUUUCUUAUAUGGAGUUGGUAGACGAGUAUGAGAUUUGUCGAUUCAGAGUGAGAAUCCAGAUGUAUAGUUCUCGGGUUGAGAGUUUAUAUGGAUUUCAUGUUGGACUACUCGAUAUAGUGCUAUGAGUAGGCUAGAACGUCAACGCUCUGCAUUGCUGAUUGUAUAAAGUUGAAGAUGACUUUUGAUCAUGCCAAGCUGAAUAAGACUUUUUACUAAAGUGGAUAGCGGUGAUGGAAUCUUUAGAGUCAAAUACGAGUCGGCCAGAAUUUUAGAAUAUCAAGAAGAAUUGCUAGAAUCGAAACGAGUUAUCAGAAGAAUCAAUCGAGAAGACAAUUAUGAUAAUGCUGGCAAUACUUUCCUCAUUAUUGAUUAUAUUGAUUAUUUUUCCAAUCAAUAAUUUGUUUUAACAUCUCUUUUAUAAAGAUGUUUAUCAAAAAGCGUAUACUCUCUCUUGAGUAAUACUGCUAUACUUGUGUUUACCCGUAUUUGAAAUGAAGUGUGAAAGAAACUGAUAUGAUACUUAUUUGUAGGUUGUGUCAAGCUCGUCACAUUAUGUUAAUUCAAAUUUCAUUUUCUCUAAGUGGUGAAUGAUUCUUAUUUCAAUUUAUCACCAUUUGCUCACUAUGAUUAAUGAUUUUUGGGUUAUUCUUCUUCUCCGAAAAUUAGCAUCUUUGGAAUCUAUUCAAUUUAGAACCCAAAGUGCGCAUUUAAGAUUCAUUCAUCAAAAGUUAAUUAUUUUUAAUUGAUUUUGAAUUUAUUUUAUAUUUUCUACUCUAACUGAGAUGAACAACCCUAAUUAUAGGGGACACAAGGACUCUCUGUCUGUGUGAUAGAAGUUUGGUGGGACGCCAUCACUUGUGUGUUGUGCAUUACAAGGAGGCUAAUUACCUUUAGUAGUAUCUUUAUCAGGAUACGCAACACUAUGUUCUCUCGAUCAUAUUGAUCUCUCAGUAACUAUUUAUUUCAAGUCAGCUUUGCUUUGUACACUCAUACAUCUGAUAUUCGCUAUAAUAUCUAAAAGUUGAUGUAUUUAAAAGAUUCCAUGAUUCUUGUUCCUCCACUUAAUUUUGAGGGUAUGCCACAUAUGUUUGACAAAGCUAAUCCGGACAAUGCAUGUCAAGAUUCUUAUAAGACUUCAAUUGCAAAAAGGGGAUCACGAUGUGACUUACAAGCAAUAGCAGGUUCUCGUUCGUUCUUCGCGGAUUCCGAGGACGGAAUCCUUAUAAGGGGGGAAGUCUGUGACGACUCGGAAAUUUUUAUAAUUGUUUAUUAGUUGUUAUUAAUUUUCUAAAAAGAUGAGGAAUAAAAUUUUAUAUUAUAUUCCAAAUUGUUGGAUUUCCAAAAACAAUUUUAAUGAGUUGUUGCAAUUAUGUGAUUAAUUGAUUUAAUUAUGUUACGUGUUAGAUGUGCAAUUUAAAUUAUUUACUUUAUGUCUGGUUGUGGAUUUACAGCUUUGAUUUAUUUUAUUAUUUUGAUAAAUCAAAAUUUUCUUAUGAUUCCAAAAUAAAUAUCAUUUUUAUAUGAGCCCAAAGGUUUUGUCGGAUUUAAAAUUAUUAAAAUAUUCAAUUUUGAUACUUUUAUAUUUUUAUCGGAUUCAAAAAUAUUUGAAAGUCUGCAAAUGAUUAUUUUAAUUGUUGUAAUUUAAAAAUGAUUUUUGAGCUUUAAUUGCAAAAAUAGAGAAAGAUUUUAAAAAAUAUUAUUUUUGCAAAUAUUGUGUAUUCGGGAUUACUAGAAUUUACAGGAAGUUUUAUUUUUAUAUUUGGAUGAUAUUUUUGGACCUCCAAAUUGUUGAAAUAGCUCUUAAUUUAAAUUGGGGGUAUGAGUUUUAGUAAAUAUAAAUAGUUUUCUAAAAAUCUUUUUAAUGUAUACUGAUCAGUUAUACAGCAGCGUGUAAACAGUUUUGGGGUAGAGGCGGCUAAAUUAGGGUUUUGGAUUUCAUUCCUUCAAUUGGAUUCAAGCUCUAAUCAGGUGAGUGAGUUGAUUGUGUGUUUAACUGUGUGUAUACAUAUCUCUGUGUGUUGUGGAUUGUUUUGGCGGCUGUCGGAGGAAUCGCGGCGACAGGGUUUCCGCCGGAGUGGUUCGGGCGGCGGUUUGACGUCGCUGGCUGACGAAGAAGGGUAGGAGAGAGACCGAGUUGAAGGCGGCUCUGCCGCGAAAAAGAUAUAGCAGGUGAGUGGAGAAACUGCAGAGAGUGGGUCGAGAAGAGGAGAAACAGCGGUGGAUGGGUGGCUGAUGAUGGCGGUGCCAAGGGUUUGACGGCGGCGGCGCGGUGGCGCGGUGUUCAGGAUGAGGGAGGAGAUUGUGAAACAGGGGUUUGAAGGGUUGGGACAAGGGAGAGUUGCAGAAGAAGGAUAGAGAGAGAAAGAAAGGCUGAGAGAGAGAGAAAAGGAGGGGGAAAGGAGAGGUUGGCAGUGGUGGUGUCCUGACGGAGGUCUGGCCAGUGUGGUUGUUUGUGCAGCUGACUAUUAAACGGCGGUGCUAGCAGCUCAGCCGCAGUUGUGGUGGCGAGAUCACCGGAGAGGAUGAAGAUCAGAGGUGGCUUUGCUAAGAGGUGUAUGUAUUUGUAUAUGUUGUUGGGGUGUUUAACUCGGCAGAGAUUGAGGCUGUGAGUUUUGAAAUGUGUAGGAAUAACUUGUGAAUCAGCGUUGAGUCUGGUGAAUGUUGUGAGCUUAUGAUCAAUCGAAGGGGAAAUUUUCAGGACCGGCCAGUGAGGGGUCAGGGUGCUGCUGUGCCGGGUGACAACAAGUUGGGUUGAAAUUUGAGUAAAGGAAGUUGUUGCAGGUAAGAUGGUGGGCUGAGAUUGAUGAGCAGGGGGGAUAUUCCUAUAAAGGAAAAAGAUAAGUGAGUAAUGGAAUGCAGGGGAGAGUAUAAUGGAUGCCCCUGGUGCUGGUUUUUGGGCUGCUGGCUGAGUGAUAACUAUAGUCCGAUGGUUGUGGGGAUUUGUGGUUGAGGGCAAUAAGAGGGUGCUGAUUGAGGGAUGAGGCAGGAGAAUUGGUGUGGUUGAUAGACAUGUAUUCUGGUAGGGGUGGAGAAUGGUUGCAGAGCAAUUUCAGAAGAUAAAAAUGGAAUGAAUACUAGUUAAUUAUGGAUUAUGUAAUUGUUAUUAUUGAUAUUGUUAUUAUUAUUAUUAUCAAUUCUUUGAUAAUAAUAAUGAUAAUUAAUAAUUCUAAUAACGUUAAUAAUCAAUAAUUGAUUAUCUUGAAUUCUAUUUUUAUUCCGAUUAUUUGUGAAUAAAGGUAGCUGGUUGAGUUUGAAUUGUCUGGAGUAUAAUUUUAUCUAAAUUUGGGAUUGUGUUGGAUAAAUGCUUCGUGCUUUAUAAUAAGUUGAAUUCGAG